AACGAACGCUGGCGGCAGGCUUAACACAUGCAAGUCGAACGGGUGUAGCAAUACAUCAGUGGCAGACGGGUGAGUAACACGUGGGAACCUUCCUCGUUGUACGGGACAACUCAGGGAAACUUGAGCUAAUACCGUAUACGUCCGAGAGGAGAAAGAUUUAUCGCAAUGAGACGGGCCCGCGUCGGAUUAGCUAGUUGGUGGGGUAACGGCCUACCAAGGCGACGAUCCGUAGCUGAUCUGAGAGGAUGAUCAGCCACACUGGGACUGAGACACGGCCCAGACUCCUACGGGAGGCAGCAGUGGGGAAUCUUGGACAAUGGGCGCAAGCCUGAUCCAGCCAUGCCGCGUGAGUGAAGAAGGCC
rnacentral:rRNA from 1 species